rnacentral:rRNA from 1 species
CAGCAGCCGCGGGAAUACAGAGGGUGCAAGCGUUAAUCGGAAUUACUGGGCGUAAAGCGCGCGUAGGUGGUUUGUUAAGUUGGAUGUGAAAGCCCCGGGCUCAACCUGGGAACUGCAUCCAAAACUGGCAAGCUAGAGUACGGUAGAGGGUGGUGGAAUUUCCUGUGUAGCGGUGAAAUGCGUAGAUAUAGGAAGGAACACCAGUGGCGAAGGCGACCACCUGGACUGAUACUGACACUGAGGUGCGAAAGCGUGGGGAGCAAACAGGAUUAGAGACCCGAGUAGUCCCUGUCUCUUAUAC